rnacentral:lncRNA from 1 species
UUCAGAGCCAACAUUGCCAAAUCUAAAUGAGUGUGACAGAACAGAUUUCAUGGUUGUCUCUGAACAGUAGUAUUUCACAAUGAAUGAUAGACAUGUAAAAUAUGUCCACUGGAAAAUAUCAUUCAUAAAAAUUUGUGAGGUCCUUUCAAUCUCAAGGUAUCGCUACAUGGAAAAUUUAUAGUGUUCAAAUACCUUACAAUAAUAAAAAGUUGUGAUAGAAUUUCUACAUAAAACAGAUACACAAAAAUGUAGUAUGAAUAUCGAAAAGAUCUCUUGAUAAAUGUGUUAAUGAUAUGUUAUUAAUCAACAAUAAAUAUGACUUUAUAAUAUGCUGUAGUUUAUUAGUCACCUGCCGACUAAGUCUAAGGGGACUUUAGGUUUGCAAUCUGUCCAUCCAUCAGUCCAGCAAAUCAGUUUUCCACAUUUUUUCUUCAUGCUUGAAGAUAUUGAUUUGAUAUUUGGUGUAUUUCAGAUAAAAUUCGAAUUUUGUGCAAGUUUGAUGAUUUUGUGCAGAGUUAUAGCCCUUUGACAUAGAAAAUUCACUAGAAUUAUCCACACUUUUUUUAGCUCACCUGGCCCAAAGGUCCAAGUGAGCUUUUCUUAUCACUUGGCAUCCGGUGUUUGUCGUCCGACGUCGUUAACUUUUACAAAAAUCUUCUCCUCUGAAACUACUGGGCCAAAUUUAACAAAACUAAGCCACAAUCAUUAUUUAAAGGGUAUCUAGUUUAAAAAAUGUGUGUGGUGACCCAGCCAACCAAUCAAGAUGGCCGCCAUGGCUAAAAAUAGAACAUAGGGGUAAAAUGUAGAUUUUGGCUUAUAACUCUGAAACCAAUGCAUUUAGAGCAAAUCUGACAAGGUGUUAAAUUGUUUAUCAAGUCAAUAUCUAUCUGCCCUGAAAUUUUCAGAUGAAUAGGACAACUGGUUGUUGGGUUAUCCCCCAAUUGGUAAUUUUUAAAGAAAUUUAGCCGUUUUUGGUUAUUAUCUUGAAUACUAUUAUAGAUAGAGAUAAACUGUAAACAGCAAUAAUGUUCAGCAAAGUAAGAUCUACAAAAAAGUCACAUGACCAAAAUGGUCAGUUGACCCCUUAAGGAGUAAUUGCCCUUUAUAAUGAAUUUUUAAAGAAAAUCAUUAAUUUGGUAAAUUUUUGUAAAUUUUUACUAAAUAUUUUCCUCUGUAACUAAAAGGCCAAGUUUAUUUUAGAUAAAGAAAAUUGUAAGUUGCAAGAAUAUUCAAUAAAGUAAGAUCUACAACCACAUCACCAUCAUCAAAACACAAUUUUGUCAUGAAUCCCUCUGU